AUUUGACUUGUCCGUCAGGCUAGAAGGAAGCUGCCAUUGGUGGGAGUGAAAGCUCAAAGAACGUUCAGUCCUUCCGCGUUCUAAGCCAAUCUUCACGAAGUGGGGGGCGUGGCCGAGGGAGCCCAGCUGGGGUGGUAAAUACUGUACGGUUGCCACUGCGCUCUGGAAAAGGAGGAAGAGUGUAGGGAAGACUAGGCAUAGACGGAUUUAGAAAUUUUAAAAUAUGCUUUCUCGAAUUUAAAUUCCAAUGAUUAAGAAGUUAGAGCACACAAGUCCUGGUGAAUUUAGGAAUACGGGCCAGGAAUCUCUGAAAACUAGAGUUCUUCUCUAGACAUUUUGUUUUCCCUUUGGUGAGUGGAUCUGGACAUUUUUAAAUGAUCAUGUUAAAUCGGAAAUCAUUAAGCAAAUUUGCAUACUGAAACUACAUUUACAUACGUUGCCCUUGAAAGCCCGCUGGUCUGCUCCCUCCCGGGUUACAAUAAAAAUCCAUCCAUUUAGGCAUAUGUGUUUGCAUUUGAAGACUCCAAAGUUCAAAUGAUCCCAGCUGGAAGAGAGGGUCUUGGAAUGACUAAAUUUGUAUGUGGCAAAAAGGUGUGAAGGGUUUCCUGUCGGGUGGUAGGUGUUUUUCUCUCCCCUCCCCUCCCCAUUACCAAUAUGCACCCUCAACCCCAUUAGUUCUGGAAGUUCCCUUUAUUUUGUAAGACUUGCUCAUUUGUCCUGUAUCUUUAUUCCAAAUACUCUAGUUGCUCCUAACAUCUGUGUCCAGGCCAUUUCUGCUCUAAUCAGAAGCAGCUCUCUGUUGGAUGCACAGGCAGCCACAGCUCAUGCAUUGCAAGGGGCUGGGGGAAGGAGGCGGCUUUGCAAUUGCUGUGUGAUGCAAUGUGAUUGGGGUUGGGGGUGGGGGGUGAGGGGCAAGGGAGAUGCGGGGAGGAAGAAGGGGGGCUGAAAUUCUCAAGGUCCUUUUUGCACAUCUGGCGCAAUUGGGAUUUCUCUCCUUUCUUCCCCUUGGUUUUGUUCUCACAGCUGUGUCCAUUUCGCCUGUGACCCCCUGAGUGAUCCCUGACAGGUGAUGAAUUGGCAGCAGCAGCAACAGCAGCGAGCAACCCAGGCCGCUGCAGAGCCGGAGCCGCGAGCCCCGGAGCAGACUCUCUGGCGCCAGGCGCGUGACGCCGCCCAUUCACCGCCGCCCUCCAGCCUUGUCCUCGCGGCGCCGCUCAGGCGGCUGCCACGGCAACCGGGGCUGUCAGUCAGCGGGCUCUCCCAGCUGAUCAAUGCCUCUGAGACAGGGGCAGUUUCAUGCCUCACCUCGGCCCUUGGCUGCUCCAGGGCCAGCAAGCACCUGCAGCCAGUUGCAUGUCUUAAGUUACUAGUUAUUUGUGGGAGGGAAGCAAAGGAGCUAGAAGAGAGAAAUCUUCCUUUGCAGAGUUUUGCGAGGGAAAAAAUGGUAAAAAGUAUAAUGUAAUUCAGGUUUUGCCAAAAUAUUUUGAUUUUUUAAAUUCAAACUAGACUCUGCUGGAAUGGAAGGCCAGAAGGUGGAGUUAGGUUACUUUUCUAGCAAAUACUGAUAUUUUUCUCCCUUUCUCUACAUCCACAAUGAUCCACUUUGGUUACAAAGCUCCUAAAGAUAUCCUUAAAGAGAAAACUUCUAGAGUCUUUCCCUUAAGAACCGCAGAUUAUACAAAAUGGCAUUUUAUUUUUCCAUAGAAGCCCCUGAGGGAAGAUGUCCACCGGUUUCCUCCACCCCCCACCCUGCGGCUUUUCCUUUACCCUUCCAGCGACUGUAGGGCUUUACGCCAGGGUGGGAACAAGCCAGUUUACACCCCUCAUUACCACUACAAAGUGAACGUCCAGAUUUAGUUCAGAAUGAAGACUGCAUUUUAAACUAAAAAAGAUAAAGACUACAGAAAUUUAAAGACAGCUUGUUGAGACUUCCUCUGUCUGGUUUAUCUUGAAGGAAAAUUCCCCAUUAAGAACCAGAUGCAAACAUUCCCAUACAGUUUAUGGCAUCCGGAAUCCUCCAUGAUCUGCAACUGCAGUCUGAAAGUGCUAAUAAUUAUUAAUCAUCUUUCCCCAACUGAUUUGAUAUGCGUGUCGUCUGCUGAGCUUAAAAAAAAAAAAAUGAAGAUGGGGAAUGGAAAAUAUUCCUGAUUAUGUUAUCUAGUUAAACGGUUUGUUGUGGUUUUCUAGGAAACAGUAUGUGGAUUACGAGUCCCAUGUUUUCUACUUGUUUAUUUAAUACCUUGGCAAAGGAAGUCUUUAGCCUGAAACAAGAUUCAAUUCAACAGUUAAUAGGGAUUUUCUAAAAUGCAAAGUACUAUGCGAUUCGUUGGGGUUGCAGAGAUUAAAAAAAAAACAGUCCUUACCCUCAAGGAGCUUAAAGUCUACAGAACGUGGUAACCACACAGUUAUGCAGUAGUGCCAAGUAGGAAACAAUGGAAAAAUGAACAAAAUAGGAUUCUAAGAACAUUUAAGGGGGAGGGACACAGGAAUUCUACUUUAAAAUACCUUCAAAUGGAAGAAUACUAAAAAGACGAAUAGAUGCUUAUUGUUUACCUAGUACAUACUUUUGAAAACUUAUUUCAGCAUGUGACCUCUAAUAUAAUUCUUAGCAAAUCAGUCAUAAAUUACAUUAACAAAACGGUUCAGCUUCUAAAAUGGAUUACUUUCCAAACCCACCACAAUUUUGAAUACUUCCUUCUAUAAUUCCAGUGCUGUCUUAUUUGCCCCGAGUUUUUUAAAUGGACCAGGUAAAAUGUCUAGCUAAAUCAAUUGCUUUCAACUGUCUGAUCUCCUUUACAGAUAUCGCCUUUCAGAUCCGUUCAAAGAAAGCAGAGUUUGAGAAGUUUUUUUGGAAAGGUUGAUUUAACUACCAGCAUUGCAAAUAUUUAGUUACAAAUGCUGUGAAGUGCACCGAUCUGUAACAGCGUUUUGCUUUCACAAAGGAUUUUCCUGUUACUUUUGUUCCGGUCACAAAAUUAAAAAGAAAAUUAACUUGAGCUAGAGAUAAGGUCUGGAAAACAAUCUGGAGCUGCCAGCGUGUUGGUGGGAGCUCCGCAGGCUGGCGUCAGGAAGUCUGCGCCUCCUUCUAGGACUGCGGCUCCGCUCUGCGCAGCUGCACUCAGCACAAUUAGCUUGUAGUAACAAUCCGGCUUGUAGGCGGCCUCUUCCCCUCAAAGUGCUUUUCUAUCCUGAUCCCUCACAUCUUGACGCUGGAAAUCAAAUCACAAGCUGACCACUGUUUGGCCAACAUCAUCUGUGGGAAUUCAUUAACAUCCGUCUCAAAGAGCGGUUUUGUCCAGAAUUAAACUACAUCUUAACAUUAUAAUGUAGCGUAGAAAGAAAAA